GCAGUCGAGCGAACGGACGAGAAGCUUGCUUCUCUGAUGUUAGCGGCGGACGGGUGAGUAACACGUGGAUAACCUACCUAUAAGACUGGGAUAACUUCGGGAAACCGGAGCUAAUACCGGAUAAUAUUUUGAACCGCAUGGUUCAAAAGUGAAAGACGGUCUUGCUGUCACUUAUAGAUGGAUCCGCGCUGCAUUAGCUAGUUGGUAAGGUAACGGCUUACCAAGGCAACGAUGCAUAGCCGACCUGAGAGGGUGAUCGGCCACACUGGAACUGAGACACGGUCCAGACUCCUACGGGAGGCAGCAGUAGGGAAUCUUCCGCAAUGGGCGAAAGCCUGACGGAGCAACGCCGCGUGAGUGAUGAAGGUCUUCGGAUCGUAAAACUCUGUUAUUAGGGAAGAACAUAUGUGUAAGUAACUGUGCACAUCUUGACGGUACCUAAUCAGAAAGCCACGGCUAACUACGUGCCAGCAGCCGCGGUAAUACGUAGGUGGCAAGCGUUAUCCGGAAUUAUUGGGCGUAAAGCGCGCGUAGGCGGUUUUUUAAGUCUGAUGUGAAAGCCCACGGCUCAACCGUGGAGGGUCAUUGGAAACUGGAAAACUUGAGUGCAGAAGAGGAAAGUGGAAUUCCAUGUGUAGCGGUGAAAUGCGCAGAGAUAUGGAGGAACACCAGUGGCGAAGGCGACUUUCUGGUCUGUAACUGACGCUGAUGUGCGAAAGCGUGGGGAUCAAACAGGAUUAGAUACCCUGGUAGUCCACGCCGUAAACGAUGAGUGCUAAGUGUUAGGGGGUUUCCGCCCCUUAGUGCUGCAGCUAACGCAUUAAGCACUCCGCCUGGGGAGUACGACCGCAAGGUUGAAACUCAAAGGAAUUGACGGGGACCCGCACAAGCGGUGGAGCAUGUGGUUUAAUUCGAAGCAACGCGAAGAACCUUACCAAAUCUUGACAUCCUUUGACAACUCUAGAGAUAGAGCUUUCCCCUUCGGGGGACAAAGUGACAGGUGGUGCAUGGUUGUCGUCAGCUCGUGUCGUGAGAUGUUGGGUUAAGUCCCGCAACGAGCGCAACCCUUAAGCUUAGUUGCCAUCAUUAAGUUGGGCACUCUAAGUUGACUGCCGGUGACAAACCGGAGGAAGGUGGGGAUGACGUCAAAUCAUCAUGCCCCUUAUGAUUUGGGCUACACACGUGCUACAAUGGACAAUACAAAGGGCAGCGAAACCGCGAGGUCAAGCAAAUCCCAUAAAGUUGUUCUCAGUUCGGAUUGUAGUCUGCAACUCGACUACAUGAAGCUGGAAUCGCUAGUAAUCGUAGAUCAGCAUGCUACGGUGAAUACGUUCCCGGGUCUUGUACACACCGCCCGUCACACCACGAGAGUUUGUAACACCCGAAGCCGGUGGAGUAACC
rnacentral:rRNA from 1 species